CGAUCGUGAAUCGGUUGGCUCGUUUUCUCUGCCCGUAGAUUUCCGUAAUCGCUCCCGGCGUUUUGACUCGGUUUUGGAUAUUAAAGAUGGAACCGAUGGAUAUUGUUGGUAAAUCGAAAGAGGAUGCGUCGCUUCCUAAAGCAACCAUGACCAAAAUUAUUAAAGAGAUGUUGCCCCCAGAUGUUCGUGUUGCAAGAGAUGCUCAAGAUCUUCUGAUAGAGUGUUGUGUAGAAUUUAUAAACCUUGUAUCAUCAGAGUCCAAUGAAGUAUGCAGCAAAGAGGAGAAGCGGACAAUUGCGCCUGAGCAUGUACUCAAGGCUUUAGAGGUUCUUGGGUUUGGAGAGUACAUUGAGGAGGUUUAUGCUGCAUAUGAGCAACACAAGGUUGAGACUACGGACUCUUUAAAAGGUGGUAAAUGGAGCAAUGGGGCAGAGAUGACUGAGGAAGAAGCAGUAGCAGAGCAACAAAGGAUGUUUGCUGAGGCACGUGCAAG
rnacentral:misc_RNA from 1 species